rnacentral:tRNA from 1 species
AAUAAGAUGCCUGAUAAAAGGACUAUCUUGAUAGGAUAGAUUAUGUAUUUAAUUACUCUUAUUA